CUGAACCCACCUAUGAUCUUACGAUCAAAGAGGACUUGGAAAGCUCUAAAACAUUGUCCUGCCUGCAAAUUGAGACAUUGGUUUAUGCUUGUCAGAGACACCUUCAGUUCCUUCCAAAUGGUACUAGAGCAGGAUUUUUUGUCGGUGAUGGUGCUGGUGUGGGGAAAGGACGAACAAUUGCUGGACUAAUAUGGGAGAAUUGGCACCAUGAUAGAAGGAAAGCAUUGUGGAUUUCUGUUGGUUCGGAUUUGAAAUUUGAUGCAAGACGAGACAUGGAUGAUGUGGGAGCUACAUGUGUAGAAGUGCAUGCUUUGAACAAGCUACCUUAUUCUAAGCUUGACUCAAAGUCUGUUGGCGUCAGGGAGGGAGUUGUUUUUUCAACAUACAGCAGUCUGAUAGCAUCUUCGGAGAAAGGUCGGUCCCGUUUGCAGCAGCUUGUACAGUGGUGUGGGCCAGAAUUUGAUGGUCUUGUCAUAUUUGAUGAG
rnacentral:misc_RNA from 1 species